AAAUCAGCACUCGACGGGAUUUCGAAGAUCAAAGAUGCGAGCUCAGAAUUCGAAGAGGCCAAUUCAAAAAUCGAAGAGGUGCUAGCUUUCUCAAAAGCUGGGCUUGCUCAGAAACCUGUUGGAAAUGUGCCCUAAAACAAAUCAUAUGAUGAUACUUUACGGACAUUUCACAUGUUAAACUAAUCUAGUUUAAUAUCAAGGGCAAAGAUUAUUGUUUGAGCCGUCUCAUAUAAAUGUUAUACGCUUAAACGAUAAGUCCAAAGAAUAUGUGAUUGGAAGAAUGCGAUCUAAAGAAGUUAGAUUCAUGAGACCAUUCUUUCGUAGACACAUCCUAAACGUUCCUGAUCAUAGGAUUGCCGAUUGGGCAUUGACAGUCUGUUAAGAUCAGUACGUUCUGUGCCUUCUCUCAGGGAGAGUGACUAGUCUCGAGUCAUUGGUGUGUGUGACAUCAAGACAAGUAUGUAGGUGCUCAAUAAUGAAUGAGUCCACUGAACAUGAUCAACGAGGAGUUCUCAUACUCAUGUCACAUGAGAACUCAUGGUUGGGAUAAUGCAAAGUAGUCUUUUGACCUGAGGCAUCAUAGUUGUCUUGUGGUUAAGUCCUUGAUCUUUGAUUAUGUCAAAGUCACUCCAUCAGGAGGGUGUCCACGGCAUCGUCAGGGUUAAGCCACUUAGCCAUGGAGGCAAGUGAAUGCGCAACAAGGGAUCUCUAACCUUCAAACCGUUUGGGGGAGAAUACUCUAUGAUAUGAUUAAGAAUCUCUGGCUAGAGUAUGAAUGAGAUUUAGGAAGUCGUUCCAAAUCACAUUCAAGGUAAUCAUUUAAGCACACAAAUCACAUUGGAUAGUAGACAUGAAUAAACUAUCAAACCAAACAAUGUGGUCAAGAGUAUUGUAUUAGAAAAUGACCGUAUUACAUUUGUAAUCCUAAACUGAAUAGGUUCUCAACCUCUUCUGAUUAGCUUGGGUAACCAUGAUAUGCUGCUAGGUGUCACUCAUGGUUUGUGGAAGCCCUAAACGUGUAUAAUCACUAAAGGGAGAAUUGAAAGUAAGUUUCAAUUCACAAUCGAUUUGAAAUGGUUUUAAUCGCCCACUGCCUCGCUAAAAGGAACCUAAUGGAUCGUACACCGUGUAAGGUGGAGAUUGAAGAAACAAUGGAGAUGAGUAAGAAUAAUUAAAUGGUUUAAUUAUUUAUGGCAAGGAUUAAUUAAUAUGUUAAUUAAUCAAACGAAUAAGUUCGUUAAAGACCUCGGGAUAGUUUUGGGUCUCAAGGCCCAAUGGGCUUCGAACGUCAAGCCCAUUGACUUAAGUUGUAUGACAACUUAAUGACAAAUAAUUCAUAAAGGCCUUAAAAGCCCAAUGAAACCCUAUGGCCGGCCAUUUUGUUAAAGGAGUGGGUUUUGAACUUAAUUACAAGUUUGCCACUCCAAUGAAUAAAGGUAUAAAUAUGACUUUAUAGCCAAAAUUCAUUUAGGGUUUCUUUUAGAGAAUUGGAGAGAACAUAUCUCUCUCUUUUCUCUCUAAGAGGCCGGCCUCCUUGGAAGGAUUAGCUAGUAAUCUUUCUCCUCCAAGGUCACUCAUCUCUUCUUCACAUCUUACCUUGGUGUGGAGACUUAGAGGUUCUCUAUUUUGAGAACUUGGAGAAACAUAUUCUUCCAUCCAAAUCCAUGGAUCUAAGAAGCAAGGAAUGAAGGCCCUAUCCUUGGGUGAUUAGCCUUUGCUUAUGCAAAGAGGAAUCUACAAAGGUAUAAAUUUCUCAACUCACUUUGAUUUGAGUUGAGUCUUGGUUCACCAAUCUACUAGGCUUUGAAUUUCAUGGGUAAUGUUUUCUUUUUGAGUGCAUACAAGCAUGAUUCUGCCCUUUAAUUGUUAAUUGCAUGAUAUAGAUGUUAUUCAAAUGAACAUGUUUUUCACAAAAUAUCCUUCAAGUGGUAUCAGAGCCUACGUCUAGUAGUUGGUGAAUCCUUUUGGGUUUUCUAGUUCAUAGUCUUUGAUUUAAAUGUUGUAAUAUGUUACAACCUUUAUUCUUGUUUCUUUGAAUGUAAAUUUUGUUGGAAAAUUUGCCAUCUCAAAUGUUGUAGAUGUAGUUCAUAUGAGCAUGAAUAUUGGAGCUAAAAUUUGGUGCCAUGUUUUUUGGAAUUUUCGGCCAAAUCCAAAGGGUGGAUUUUUGGGUUCUUGUUUGACUUGUUAAAAGUGUUUUCAAGUAACUUUUGGAACCCUUAUGUACCCUAGUUUGGUUAUAUGUUAUUUCCCUUAAGUUUGAAUGGUUUUGGGAUGUUUUUGGGUGAAAAAUGUUCAUGGAAUUUUUUUGAGUUUUUCAUGAGUGUUCUUCAUUGUUCUUGACAUUUUUGCCAAGAACAAAAAGUUUGGUGUUUUGAUUCAAAGUUUUGGUUAAUUUCAUAAAGUCUUUGUUUUGUGCUUUAUCAAAUGUUUAAUGUGAUUGAAAUUGUGUAAGGUGAUAGAAAUGUUGAUAGAUGUGUAAGAAGUACUUAUCUUACACACACACACACCAACUUAUUUCCACCAGCAUGGUUCCACUUGCAAGGCUUUAUGAAUUUGUUGAAAAAAAAAAAAUUUCCAAAUUUUUGUGGGCUUAUCUUUUCUCUCUUUUCUCCCUAAAACCGCCCACCCUAUUAAAAUAGGGUAUUUUUGGGGCUUUUAUGCAAUUACAUAAAGUUUUGAUACUUUUGUGUAUUUGUAUUUUGACCCGAAAGUUUACGUUUUGACGUUAAGGCCUAAAAACGCUAAAGGACAAAUUGUUUUGCUCCUUUAAUGAAGUUUUUAUAUUUAUUGAAAUUUUUGGGUUCUAGUUGUAAUUACAUGAAGUUGUGGACUUUUGUGUUUUUACAAAGUGACCCCAAAAGUUUGUGUUUUUGCAAUAUGGCCCAAAAGUUGAGGUUAUUGCAUUUUGGCCCAAAUUAAGUUGAGAACAAAAUUGUUUUGUCUCUUCAAAUGAGAAUUGGAUUUUCAUUUCAUUUAGCUCCAUUUAAAUCAAUUUUAUGGAUACAAAAACCAAAUGAAAAUGUUGCAUUCAAGUUUAAUUAGUUAAAGCGUUAAUUAAUUAAAGGGUGAUUAUGAACCUAAGCCUACGAUAAUUGAGCUAUGUGAAAGGCCGUUUGAAAUUUGUUUGAACCAUGGGAAUGUGUAGAUUAGAUUUUGGUUGUAAUUUGAUUUGAUCAAAUGUUGUAAAAGAGCAUAAGCUCUUCUUUACUUUAAAGUAAUUUGUAUUAUUCAAAUGUUGUAAAGAGCAUAAGCUCAUCUUUACUUUGAAGUACUCAUUUCUUGUUUUAUUUGAUAUGCAUGAAAAUGGAGUAGAGGGUCCAACACCCCUAAGACAACACGCCUUAAUGUGAUUAAACGCGUAACUAAAAUCAAUCACCAUCCUUAGAACGAGAUUCAACACUAGGCUCGUGUUGAAUCUAAACAAAGGUUCAUAGUCAUCCUAAGGCCCUAAGGCAACUAUAUAGUCCAUCAAAUGAAUGCAAAGUUUAUGUUAGUAGUAUCAUAUACUCUUGCUUUAAAAACCGUUUUAUAAGCAUAGUGGGAGUAUUAUAUACAACUAAAACAAUCAAAUGGACCAAUAGUUGUAAUAGGACCAAAAUUGUUUAAUAAAGAUUAAAAUGAAUAUUUAUAUGUGAUGAGACCUAAAAACCCUCAACCAAACCAUUAUUAAGUUUAGAAGCGUGAGAAUGCUUUGAACACUCUUCCGUGGCCUUCCACCGUGGUAGGCUCCGAUCGUUUGUGACUCGUACACCGGCUUCACCCUAUCAUGGGGGAGUACAAAGUGAGUGCUUACACUCAGGAGGAGUCUAUAUGCAUACUUGAUGUUGUGAAAGGUAGGCAAUGAGAAUAGACAACAUCAUAUCAUUGUGAGGUUGUUCUUGAACCCCUACCCGAACUUGCAUGGUGGGAAUGACUUAACUAAGUGCAAUGGAGCCAACAUCAUAUCAUUGUGAGGUGACAUUCUCUAGAGGCCAAAUAAGAUGGGUAAUUGCAAGAGAUGCAAAUGAGUAAGUGUACUCUCUCAUUAUUAUUAAUGCUAGCCAACAUCAUAUCAUUAUGAGGUGGGCUUGGUUGUAGUGAGUCUCCCAUACCCUACUAAGAGUUACCUCCAAAACUCUCGAAUUCCAAUGAGGGAUAUGGAAUUUGCCAAAAAUAGUGGGUGGUGCUAUUUGAUUUAAAGACCCGAAUCAAAUGGCUUAAAAUCAAUCGAUUUAUAUUCGUUAUGUAUUUAUUUACCAAUAUAUUUGCAAACGCUAUCCAACACUUGACAAAUAAAAGCCAAAAGCUUUAGUUUCCGGACUUGGUACUACAAAACCAUAGAUUGUCUUUAAUGGCUUGUAAAUGUACCUAAGUAGUCUCAUCCUCACAAUCUUCCUAUUGAUAAUGUAUCAUUAGAAGAAUAUGUUAGAAAAAGUCUAUCAUAAAGAGGAUAACACUUUUAAUGUCAUAAUUCUUCAAUUACAAAUUGUUGUAUGAAGAAAUAAGAGUUGCUUUGAACAACCCUUAGUCAAUGCAAACACUAGUGCUUGUUUCUUUGUUAAAUGAACAAAGAACUUGAGAAGAAAGCACAAGGGCAUAGACACUUUCUGUGCCAUGAUUCUUCACUUACAAAUUGUUGUAUGAAGAAAUGAGAGUUGCCUUGAACAACUCUUGAAAGUUUGUAAUUAUGUUUAGAACAUAAUGGUUGGUUGACAAAAAUAGUCCAUCAACAUGGACUUAUGAUGAUUUUGAAUCAUUGAGUGUUGAAGUGUUAAACCACUUAACGAGACGGAAACUAGGCUAGGACUUCACCUUUAUGUCCCUAUCCUAAUGGUUCACUAAGUUUAUUGUAAACUAUGUAGUGAACAAUAACCACAUACUCUCCAAAUCGUUUGAUGUGUAUAACACAAUUGAAAUAAGUUUCAAGAGAGAUAGUGGGAGUUUAAGGACCAUGACUAUUGUAGUCAAAGGAGAAGUCAAAUGAAGAAAUCGAAAUAACUCCAAGGGAACAAACUUUCUUUAUGAAAGGAUGGACAUUGGAAGGGGUAUUUGCAAGAAAAGUCUUGCAAGUGUCAAGAACACACCUUUCGAAGGUGUUGUAAAUUGUUCUUGAUAGUUCAAAACAGUUGGUUCUUCUACUUGAAUGCUUGAUUCCGUAUUAGUAACUAUGUUUUACAAUCAUUGUAAAAGAGUGACUAAUAAGAAGUAGAAGAUAUAUGAGAGAAGAAAAAGGUGCUUCACAUUCGGAACGUGAAUAAAAUAAAGAUCUCUGCGAAAGCAGAUAGUACUUACUUCCUUAUAUGAACUACCAAAGAAAUUGGAAAACCCAAAGAUUGUCUUUACAUUCCAAUUUUAAGGAACUUAAUUCCGUCACUAUAGUAGAGAUGGAUGAAUGUUUUGUUUGACAAAACAUUGUUCUUUAUUAAUCAAUGAUUCGAUUAUAGUAAUCUAAUUGAUUGUCUCUAUAGUAGAGAUGAUAUGGUAUUGUUAACUGUUUAGAAUAUAACGAUGCUUAAAACCCAAAAGGUUGCAAGGUAGUGACUAAUCCCAACUAAAGUUGUGAUACCUCUAAAACAUAAAUUACGAGUUGGUCAAAGAUGGAUGCUUUGGAUCGUUAGAUCUGGAUCCAAUACCUUCUUAUUAAAAUUGUAUAGAGGCGAAAUGUUCGAAUCUUUAUUCUUUUGGAAAGAAGAAAGAAUCACAAAGUUGUUGAGGUUAAUUCACUUAGAUGUUAGUGGCACUUGUCCACAACAUAAUACUACUCAUGUUGUAUGACAUUCACCGAAGAUCGCUCUCGGUUGGACUAUAGUUUAUUUUGAAUAAACACAAGUCCGAAUACUUUGCAAAAGGUUUCAAAGAAUUCAAGAAAUGUAAGUUGAUGAGUAAGACGUCUAAAGUAUUUGCCUCCUUAGAUUUGAUCCAAGGAAAGAUAACACUUUAGAACAGCUCCUUGAAAAAUAUCAAGGAAAGAAGCAUCAAAAGAUAAUGGAUUUCUCCAUUAGGAGAAGAAUGAACUUGAAUAAGAUUUAGUUCGUUGGAUGUUAUCAAUUACCCAUAUAUAGGAUAUAUGCUUCUAAGACAAUAUGAUUGUCAAUUAGAAGAUCUUCCAAAAUUUUCAUGACUCCAUAAGAUGUAGUUGGAAAGAAAGACAAAUCUUAAUCAUGUUAAGAUUUGGGGUUGUGUGCUAAUAAGCAAUAUUUGUCUGAGAAUUAUCUUAUGGGUAUCCUUAAAUUAACAUUUGGAUAUCACUUCUAUAAACCAACUAACAAAUGUUGUUUGUUGGGUAGUUCAUUGUAAUCCUACACUAGGAUUUGCCCAAGAUAGAGCAAAUGAACGAGGGAUAGAACUCAAAGAAUGGUUCUUUAAGAAACAAGAUAGUGAUCAACAAAUAUAACAACCUAGUUCCUAUACCACAAGCUCCAAGGUAGUCGAGAAGGAUUUAUAAAUCGUCUCAGUUGAAUGGUUUGAACUUUAUGACUAUGUCAUAGAGUUACACCUCUUAAUUCGAAAGAAAUAAGAAUGAAAAUCCUUAUGACUACAUUGAGUGUAUAUACGAUAUAUACUCAAGGAAAUGGUAAAGUACCAUUUGACCCGAAAUAAUGAAACCUUAAAUAGCUAAUUGGUAGCUUAAGGUGACUACAAUCAAAGAGAAUGGUUGACUUUGAAGAAACCAUCUUUGACGUAGUCUUGUUUUCAAUUAAUUCGAAGAUUGCUAGCUACAACUAAAUGGUGAUUCAAUGUUUGGACAUAAUAUAGGUUUCCGAAACCAUUAUUAAGAUAGUCUUGAUAAUAUAUGUCUAAAACUAUGAAUCACAAGACAUGUAAGUUGUAGAGAUCCAUCCAUCAUGGAUCUUAGCAAGCUAGUGGGAGCUAUAAGCGUCUUAUGAGAGAAAGAUCAAAUCGUUUGAUUUCUCAUAAAGAUGUGAUGAAUCUUUUGUUUACUAGGUUUACAAAAGAUUAGUGGGAGUUAAUCAAAUUCCUAAAUUUGAAUAUAUAUAUAUGAUAUAUUAAUUUUGGAAAUGAAAAGAAUACUUCUUCGUUAAAGUUAUGACUUUAAACAUUCUAUAACGAUAGAAUGUAUAUGGGAGAUAUAGUCUAAAUACAUGGGAUAGAAAUCUAUAGUGAUAUAUUUCAAGAUAUAAUUUGAUUAUAUCAAUCCCUAAUAAUAGACAAGAGAUGCUAGGAAGUUUCUCAUAUGAUGAUAAACUUCAAUUAGAAGGACGACUCUAGUGAGAUUAGCAAGCUGCCCUUCUCAAAGGGAACGUACCCUUUGACUCCCAAAGAAAUAAUGCAUAAAUAGAAUCCUUUAUGCAUAUGCAGAAAGGUGAUUUAUGUAUUUCAUAUUGUAUGAAAAACAUUGAUAUGAGUUGUACCUAGAAAGGUACAAGACAAUAUCAGUGCAAGCUCAGGAUCAGAACCAUGGCAACUGUCAAGUGAGUCCUUGAGUAUUUAAGAAAUACUCAAGGAGAGAUUCCUCAAAGAAUGAGGAAGAAUUAGAGUAACGUAAUGGAAGCGUAAAUGUAUUAGAUUAUGAAUCUAAUCCAUCAUUGGAUGUUUCUUCAUUAUGAAUGAAGAGAUAAUCAGAUAUCUCUUUAUUAUGACUAAAAGAGAUAUUUGGAUGGAAACAUUAAAAGUAAUGACUUUAGUGUGUUCCAUAGUGAAUGCAAAAUAUAUUGCCAUAUAGAAGCUUACAACAAUGUUGUUUAGAUGGGAAAGUUCAUUUAUGAACUCUCUAUUCGGUUCCAACCAGAAAGUGUCUCUAGUGUACUGACACAACGACACUAAUGGGGCGAUAGCUCAAGCCAGGGAAUCAAGGUCUCAUCACGAUCCGAACUCAAAUGAGAGACUAAACCACAUGAUUGAGAAUCAUGUAUAAUGGUGACGUCGUUAUUCUCAAGGUUGCUUCUAUAGAUAAGAUAUAGAUAUCCAUUGUCUAGGCCUACUACUCAACCAUUUAUGAAAUGACUACAGAAGAGGUAUCAUCAUUGAUGACCAAGCUGAUUGGCUCUAGUGCAAGUGGGAGAUUGUUGGAAAUGUGCCCUAAAACCAAUCAUAUGAUGAUACUUUACGGACAUUUCACAUGUUAAACUAAUCUAGUUUAAUAUCAAGGGCAAAGAUUAUUGUUUGAGCUGUCUCAUAUAAAUGUUAUACGCUUAAACGAUAAGUCCAAGGAAUAUGUGAUUGGGAGAAUGCGAUCUAAAGAAGUUAGAUUCAUGAGACCAUUCUUUCAUAGACACACCUAAACGUUCCUGAUCAUAAGAUUGCCAAUUGGGCAUUGACAGUCCGUUAAGAUCAGUACGUGAUGUGUCUUCUCUCAGGGAGAGUGACUAGUCUCGAGUCAUUGGUGUGUGUGACAUCAAGACAAGCAUGUAGGUGCUCAAUAAUGAAUGAGUCCACUGAACACGAUCAACGGGAGUUCUCAUACUCAUGUCACAUGAGAACUCAUGGUUGGGAUAAUGCAAAGUAGUC
rnacentral:lncRNA from 1 species